AGGACUCUUAACUUUAGUUCAUUCAGUCGUUCGUUUGAAAUGGAUAUUUGUGGGCGUGGAUUUGAUGCACUGCUUAUAGCGAUAUUGAGCGAUGUCGUGAUGGCGCGUGAAGUAUCGAAUCGGUUCCAGUAGCGCCAGAACUCAGUAGGGAAAGCGGCUGGAUCGCGAUUGCUGUUAAAGCCACGAUAUAAUUACGGAGGUCUUUGCUACUUGAGAAUAAUCAUAUUGUACGCGCUUUGAAAAUAUUUUGGGUACUUCAUCUGAAUAAUGAACAUAAUGGACUUUUUUGUUUGGCCACGAUAAAAACACAGACGUUUUUCGACACUUUUCAAAAAAUAUCUGACAUUUCCUUUCACUCCACAGUCGAAGAAUAUUGCUCUUAAAGUGAAAAACAUUAGCGUGGUCUUGGCCGUAAGGAGAGGGUCGUGUCUAUGCUCUGCUGCCGACGGCGGCGGACGUCGCCAGGAGGAUUAAUGGCGAAAAGUACAUCAAUGGACGGAACUAGACCGCGUGUAAGGACUGUGGGCGCACUUUGAAUAUAGCGGCACCGAUGCCGUCUGACUGACUGCUGCCGGUGCGGAUUGAGAUCUUCAGCACUUGAUAUCAUGCCCAUUAAUGUGUAACAAAAAAUAUUUUUGUUGAUGGCACCGUGACAAAAUAAAAGUCAUUCGGAUAUAAUAAAUCGUUUUGCUUCCGGUUU